CCUACGGGGGGCAGCAGUGGGGAAUAUUGGACAAUGGGGGAAACCCUGAUCCAGCGACGCCGCGUGAGUGAAGAAGUAUUUCGGUACGUAAAGCUCUAUCAGCAGGAAAGAAAAUGACGGUACCUGACUAAAAAGCCCCGGCUAACUACGUGCCAGCAGCCGCGGUAAUACGUAGGGGGCAAGGGUUAUCCGGAGUUACUGGGUGUAAAGGGAGCGUAGACGGCAGGGCAAGUCUGGAGUGAAAUGCCGGGGCCCAACCCCGGAAUUGCUCUGGCAACCGUGAAGCUGGAGUGCAGGGAAGGUAAGCGGAAUUCCUGGGGGAGCGGUGAAAUGCGUAGAUAUGAGGAGGAACACCGGCGGCGAAGGCGGCUUACUGGACUGUAACUGACGUUGAGGCUCGAAAGCGUGGGGAGCAAACAGGAUUAGAUACCCGAGUAGUC
rnacentral:rRNA from 1 species